UAGAAGUUCCAAUUUCGCUUUGUUUUAAAAGAAAAUACUCCUUCUAGUCAAAGUUGAUUGAAUGAGAUGACUGCAGAACCAAGAAACUACGAAGUUGCAGUUAUUAACCAGAACUGCUCGGCCUUGGAGGUGGCUUACAAUGUCCACUGGCUUGGGCCCUUGGUUAUGGACUGGGAUGCCACCCCCUGCUUCGACUUCUUCAGCUUCCCCAUAGUUCUGGCUGCAGUAGCACUCUCCUUCAUCCAGAUUCACCCCUCGGUGUUGUGCACUGUCAUCCGUGAGCUCUCGGCACUCCUCGGCACGCACACACACUCCAUGGAAAAAUGGCAAAAUAAUGAGCAAUCGAUUGAAUCGGAGUGCAGGACACAAUGGAACCCUGACGACCAGGUAGCGCUCGAAGUGGGAUUACGAAAUUGAAUUCGAUGGCGAGUGGCCGGGGCUAGGGACUUUGUAAUUCAACACAUUCAAUAAAUUAGAGGUUUGGGGAGGCAAACAAAGGAAGUGCAGACGCAGAACUUCCGUUGCAGGCCAUCCCAUCGAUUUGCAUUUCCAA